GAUGAACGCUGGCGGCGUGCCUAAUACAUGCAAGUCGAGCGAACGGACGAGAAGCUUGCUUCUCUGAUGUUAGCGGCGGACGGGUGAGUAACACGUGGAUAACCUACCUAUAAGACUGGGAUAACUUCGGGAAGCCGGGCUAAUACCGGAUAAUAUUUUGAACCGCAUGGUUCAAAAGUGAAAGACGGUCUUGCUGUCACUUAUAGAUGGAUCCGCGCUGCAUUAGCUAGUUGGUAAGGUAACGGCUUACCAAGGCAACGAUGCAUAGCCGACCUGAGAGGGUGAUCGGCCACACGGGAACUGAGACACGGUCCAGACUCCUACGGGAGGCAGCAGUAGGGAAUCUUCCGCAAUGGGCGAAAGCCUGACGGAGCAACGCCGCGUGAGUGAUGAAGGUCUUCGGAUCGUAAAACUCUGUUAUUAGGGAAGAACAUAUGUGUAAGUAACUGUGCACAUCUUGACGGUACCUAAUCAGAAAGCCACGGCUAACUACGUG
rnacentral:rRNA from 1 species